AGUUCCAUAGUGUAGCGGUUAGUACGUCUGUUUUACACACAGAAGGUCCUGGAUUCGCAUCCCUGGUGGAGCCA
rnacentral:tRNA from 1 species